AAUGUCAAAGUGAAGAAGUUCGAACAAGCGCGGGUAAACGGCGGGAGUAACUAUGACUCUCUUAUGGUAGCCAAAUGCCUCGUCAUCUGAUUAGUGACGCGCAUGAAUGGAUUAACGAGAUUCCCACUGUCCCUGACUGCUAUCUAGCGAAACCACAGCCAAGGGAACGGGCUUGGUAAACGUGUCGGCGGGGAAAGAAGACCCUGUUGAGCUUGACUCUAGUCUUUGAGACUGUACAGACUCGUCGGCGGUAAAGCGUAAGUGGGAGGUCGUCGCCCUUUCGGGGGCGGCGGCCGACGAUGUAACACCACUACGCCGUUCGCGUCUCUACUCACUUCAUUGUGUGUCGGUUUUGAAUCGUUGUCGGACAGAGCGCCGGCGGCCCGCCAGGGCGCGGCCGGCGCCAGAUACGUGAAGCACUCCUCUCAGUCGGGGAGUUUGACUGGGGCGGUACAUCUGUCAAAGCGUAACGCAGGUGUCCCAAGGCGGGCUCGGUCGGGACGGAAACCUGACGUCGAACAAAAGGGCAAAUGCCCGCUCGAUCGGAAUCUUCAGUACGAAUGACGACCGCGAAAGCGCGGCCUAUCGAUCCUUUCUCUCGAAGGCAAAGAAGGCCCCGCCAGGGCGCGGGGUCGAUUUCGACCGGAGCAGCGUCUCCGGAGAGAGGUAAUAGAAAAGUUACCGUGGGGACAACUGGCUUGUGGCGGCCAAGCGUCCGUAGCGACGUCGCUUUUUGAUCCUUCGAUGUCGGCUCUUCCUAUCAUUGCGAAGCAGAAUUCGCCAAGUGUCGGAUUGUUCACCCGUAAAAAGGGAACGUGAGCUGGGUUUAGACCGUCGUGAGACAGGUUAGUUUUAUCCUACCGCACGCAACAGUUUUGACGACAUGUAUGUGACGGCGGGUCGCGACCGCGACAGAAGCGCUGCUCAGUACGAGAGGAACGGCAGUGGCGGAACUCUGGCACGAGCGCUCGGUCGAAGGGCCGAUGGCGCGACGCUAUCUUCCGUUGGCUAACGACUGAACGCCUCUAAGUCGGAAGCCCUUCUCGAGACGGCCGCGACGGAGACUCGACGAGAUCGCGCGCGGCGUGAGAUCGAAAUAGCCCGGCCCUUUGCAGGGCGCGGGUGCUCUUACUCGAGCCGACCGGAGAUUCGUCUCCGAGAGUUCGGCGUUUCGCGAACCCCGGUGGAUCUGCGUCUCUACGAGACCACCUGCAGACGACGGGUUUGGACGGACGUCUUAUAAGUCUCCGAGUGGUACUUUCGCCGCGAGGGACUGGGAGGGCGUCUCGUCUACG
rnacentral:rRNA from 1 species